rnacentral:tRNA from 1 species
GUCUCAGUGGCAUAGUGGUUAGUGCACAGCAUCGGAUAGGUUGAGACGCGGGUUCGAAUCCCGCCUGAGAUG